GACGAACGCUGGCGGCGUGCUUAACACAUGCAAGUCGAACGGAAAGGCCUCUUUCGGGGGGUACUCGAGUGGCGAACGGGUGAGUAACACGUGAGUAACCUGCCCUUGACUUUGGGAUAACUUCAGGAAACUGGGGCUAAUACCGGAUAGGAGCUCGUGCUGCAUGGUGGGGGUUGGAAAGUUUCGGCGGUUGGGGAUGGACUCGCGGCUUAUCAGCUUGUUGGUGGGGUAGUGGCUUACCAAGGCUUUGACGGGUAGCCGGCCUGAGAGGGUGACCGGCCAAAAUGGGAAUGAGAUACGGCGCAGACUCGUACGGGAAGGAGAAGUGGGGAAUAUUGCACAAAAGGUGGAAGCCUGAUGCAGCAAGGCCGUGUGCGGGAUGACGGACUUCGGGUUGUAAACCGCUUUCGCUCAUGACGAAGCUUUGUGUGACGGUAGUGGGUAAAGAAGCACCGGCUAACUACGUG
rnacentral:rRNA from 1 species